rnacentral:rRNA from 1 species
AUUGAACGCUGGCGGCAGGCCUAACACAUGCAAGUCGAGCGGUAGCACAGAGAGCUUGCUCUCGGGUGACGAGCGGCGGACGGGUGAGUAAUGUCUGGGAAACUGCCUGAUGGAGGGGGAUAACUACUGGAAACGGUAGCUAAUACCGCAUAACGUCGCAAGACCAAAGUGGGGGACCUUCGGGCCUCAUGCCAUCAGAUGUGCCCAGAUGGGAUUAGCUAGUAGGUGGGGUAACGGCUCACCUAGGCGACGAUCCCUAGCUGGUCUGAGAGGAUGACCAGCCACACUGGAACUGAGACACGGUCCAGACUCCUACGGGAGGCAGCAGUGGGGAAUAUUGCACAAUGGGCGCAAGCCUGAUGCAGCCAUGCCGCGUGUGUGAAGAAGGCCUUCGGGUUGUAAAGCACUUUCAGCGGGGAGGAAGGCGUUAAGGUUAAUAACCUUGGCGAUUGACGUUACCCGCAGAAGAAGCACCGGCUAACUCCGUGCCAGCAGCCGCGGUAAUACGGAGGGUGCAAGCGUUAAUCGGAAUUACUGGGCGUAAAGCGCACGCAGGCGGUCUGUCAAGUCGGAUGUGAAAUCCCCGGGCUCAACCUGGGAACUGCAUUCGAAACUGGCAGGCUAGAGUCUUGUAGAGGGGGGUAGAAUUCCAGGUGUAGCGGUGAAAUGCGUAGAGAUCUGGAGGAAUACCGGUGGCGAAGGCGGCCCCCUGGACAAAGACUGACGCUCAGGUGCGAAAGCGUGGGGAGCAAACAGGAUUAGAUACCCUGGUAGUCCACGCCGUAAACGAUGUCGAUUUGGAGGUUGUGCCCUUGAGGCGUGGCUUCCGGAGCUAACACGUUAAAUCGACCGCCUGGGAGUACGGCCGCAAGGUUAAAACUCAAAUGAAUUGACGGGGGCCCGCACAAGCGGUGGAGCAUGUGGUUUAAUUCGAUGCAACGCGAAGAACCUUACCUGGUCUUGACAUCCACAGAACUUAGCAGAGAUGCUUUGGUGCCUUCGGGAACUGUGAGACAGGUGCUGCAUGGCUGUCGUCAGCUCGUGUUGUGAAAUGUUGGGUUAAGUCCCGCAACGAGCGCAACCCUUAUCCUUUGUUGCCAGCGGUCCGGCCGGGAACUCAAAGGAGACUGCCAGUGAUAAACUGGAGGAAGGUGGGGAUGACGUCAAGUCAUCAUGGCCCUUACGACCAGGGCUACACACGUGCUACAAUGGCAUAUACAAAGAGAAGCGACCUCGCGAGAGCAAGCGGACCUCAUAAAGUAUGUCGUAGUCCGGAUUGGAGUCUGCAACUCGACUCCAUGAAGUCGGAAUCGCUAGUAAUCGUAGAUCAGAAUGCUACGGUGAAUACGUUCCCGGGCCU